AGAGGGCACAACUCCCGGAUAACAGAGCUAGGCUGAGCUGGAGAAACCAACAGCGUUUCAGCAUAUAGGUUUAUCAAGCACACGGCCAGGAAAUGCAAGCAGCAUAGGAGCCUUGGGGGAACGUCAAGAAGGUCUUCACAAAGAAGCAACUUAGCCCAAGAGAGAAACGUGUGUCACAGUCAACAAAGCUGAAAGGAGUUAGAGACGUGAAGAGUUCUAUGAUAUCAAAUAGGAAGAUGCAGAAUUUGGAGUUUGCCGGGCUGGUUUUAGAUUCAGAAGUACAACUCUCUCAAGCUACUUCUUCCGUACCAUGAAGACAAUGCACUAAACCUCACAACUGAAGGCAAACCCAAGCGGUCUGCAAUUUUUAAGAGACAUGAGACUUCUAGAAGAGAUGCUGUUUGGUAUUUAGAACGGAAGCCGGUGGGAGCAGGAGACUGAGGGUCUGCAUGAGAAUGCACCUUAGGCGCAGACAUCUGAACACUCGCUCACGUCCUUCCUCUGUGCUGACAUCUGAAGAUGUGAGUGUUCGGCUUCCUGUUCCUGCCAUCAAGCCUGCCGCGUGCUGCCGUGCCUCCCGCCAUGGUGGAUUCUUAUUCCUCUGGAAGCCUAAGCCCAAAUAAACUCUUCCUUCCAUAA